UCAGAAUUCUUUCUCUCUUAUCUUUCAGUUUUCUCUCUCCUCUUGUAAAACCUCUGUUGCGCAUCUUCGUGUUCUUCAAAUUUGUUGAUUCUCCUUGCAAAUCUCAAGGUUUUUGGGGGAUUCUCGUCUUCUUCAGAUCAGGAAGGGCUGUUAGGAUGUGAUUUGGAGUAGCAGACAUACGGUAGCCUUUUAUAGAAUGUGAGCUACAAAGAGCAGGCUACAGUUUUAAAAUUGAAGUUUCCGAGGUUUGAGGAAGCUUCUUAUUAAGUUUAAGAAGGAAGACACCUAAGAGUUCAAAGAUAUUAGACAGUGAUGACUCCAAAAAGUGGCUGCCUACUGUUGAUUCCUGAGAUCGUUUAUAUGCGUCAAUCAGGAUGUUUUGCAGCUGCUGCAGAUGGUUGGGAUGAGGCCGUUCCACCCCCAACGAGCAGAGUUCCUAUUGUUCCCGGUUGUGAUGACAUAUGCUCUUUCAGUUAACCUUUUCUUUCCACGUCUAUCUGAUUUGGUUUGUGUUUGUUUCUGCAAAAUUGUGUAAAGUGAGAAAAAUAGGAUUGUUAAUAUAAUGAGUUGUAAAGUUAUUCGGAAAGAUGGUUUCAAAUUGUGUUGGUACCAACAUGCAAGUUAUGCCUAUUAGCUCAACUGGUAGAGCUUUGUGAGAUUGCACAAUGAUGUA